rnacentral:rRNA from 1 species
ACGAACGCUGGCGGCAUGCCUAACCCAUGCAAGUCGAACGAGACCUUCGGGUCUAGUGGCGCACGGGUGAGUAACGCGUGGGAACCUGCCCUUAGGUUCGGAAUAACUCCCCGAAAGGGGUGCUAAUACCGGAUAAUGUCUUCGGACCAAAGAUUUAUCGCCUUUGGAUGGGCCCGCGUUGGAUUAGCUAGUUGGUAGGGUAAAAGCCUACCAAGGCGACGAUCCAUAGCUGGUCUGAGAGGAUGAUCAGCCACACUGGGACUGAGACACGGCCCAGACUCCUACGGGAGGCAGCAGUGGGGAAUAUUGGACAAUGGGCGAAAGCCUGAUCCAGCAAUGCCGCGUGAGUGAUGAAGGCCUUAGGGUUGUAAAGCUCUUUUACCCGGGAUGAUAAUGACAGUACCGGGAGAAUAAGCUCCGGCUAACUCCGUG